ensembl:ncRNA ZK617.17 ncRNA
CAGGCCCAAGACACAGUUUGCCCCCGCAGCAAUAAUCAUUGAAAGUGACCCAGAAUAAGAGCACUUGUAGUUGCGUGGGGGACAAACAGAUAGUGAGCCAUGUGUCAACUACUUU